GACGAACGCUGGCGGCGUGCCUAAUACAUGCAAGUCGAGCGAAUCGAUGGGAGCUUGCUCCCUGAGAUUAGCGGCGGACGGGUGAGUAACACGUGGGUAACCUGCCUGUAAGACUGGGAUAACUUCGGGAAACCGGGGCUAAUACCGGAUACGUUCUUUUCUCGCAUGAGGGAAGAUGGAAAGAUGGUUCUGCUAUCACUUACAGAUGGACCCGCGGCGCAUUAGCUAGUUGGUGAGUUAACGGCUCACCAAGGCAACGAUGCGUAGCCGACCUGAGAGGGUGAUCGGCCACACUGGGACUGAGACACGGCCCAGACUCCUACGGGAGGCAGCAGUAGGGAAUCUUCCGCAAUGGACGAAAGUCUGACGGAGCAACGCCGCGUGAGCGAAGAAGGCCUUCGGGUCGUAAAGCUCUGUUGUUAGGGAAGAACAAGUACGAGAGUAACUGCUCGUACCUUGACGGUACCUAACCAGAAAGCCACGGCUAACUACGUGCCAGCCGCCGCUGUAAUAC
rnacentral:rRNA from 1 species